rnacentral:rRNA from 1 species
GACGAACGCUGGCGGCGUGCUUAACACAUGCAAGUCGAACGGAAAGGCCCUGCUUUUGUGGGGUGCUCGAGUGGCGAACGGGUGAGUAACACGUGAGUAACCUGCCCUUGACUUUGGGAUAACUUCAGGAAACUGGGGCUAAUACCGGAUAGGAGCUCCUGCUGCAUGGUGGGGGUUGGAAAGUUUCGGCGGUUGGGGAUGGACUCGCGGCUUAUCAGCUUGUUGGUGGGGUAGUGGCUUACCAAGGCUUUGACGGGUAGCCGGCCUGAGAGGGUGACCGGCCACAUUGGGACUGAGAUACGGCCCAGACUCCUACGGGAGGCAGCAGUGGGGAAUAUUGCACAAUGGGCGGAAGCCUGAUGCAGCAACGCCGCGUGCGGGAUGACGGCCUUCGGGUUGUAAACCGCUUUCGCCUGUGACGAAGCGUGAGUGACGGUAAUGGGUAAAGAAGCACCGGCUAACUACGUGCCAGCAGCCGCGGUGAUACGUAGGGUGCGGGCGUUGUCCGGAUUUAUUGGGCGUAAAGGGCUCGUAGGUGGUUGAUCGCGUCGGAAGUGUAAUUUUGGGGCUUAACCCUGAGCGUGCUUUCGAUACGGGUUGACUUGAGGAAGGUAGGGGAGAAUGGAAUUCCUGGUGGAGCGGUGGAAUGCGCAGAUAUCAGGAGGAACACCAGUGGCGAAGGCGGUUCUCUGGGCCUUUCCUGACGCUGAGGAGCGAAAGCGUGGGGAGCGAACAGGCUUAGAUACCCUGGUAGUCCACGCCGUAAACGGUGGGUACUAGGUGUGGGGUCCAUUCCACGGGUUCCGUGCCGUAGCUAACGCUUUAAGUACCCCGCCUGGGGAGUACGGCCGCAAGGCUAAAACUCAAAGGAAUUGACGGGGCCCCGCACAAGCGGCGGAGCAUGCGGAUUAAUUCGAUGCAACGCGUAGAACCUUACCUGGGUUUGACAUGGAUCGGGAGCGCUCAGAGAUGGGUGUGCCUCUUUUGGGGUCGGUUCACAGGUGGUGCAUGGCUGUCGUCAGCUCGUGUCGUGAGAUGUUGGGUUAAGUCCCGCAACGAGCGCAACCCUUGUUCACUGUUGCCAGCACGUUAUGGUGGGGACUCAGUGGAGACCGCCGGGGUCAACUCGGAGGAAGGUGGGGAUGACGCCAAGUCAUCAUGCCCCUUAUGUCCAGGGCUUCACGCAUGCUACAAUGGCUGGUACAGAGAGUGGCGAGCCUGUGAGGGUGAGCGAAUCUCGGAAAGCCGGUCUCAGUUCGGAUUGGGGUCUGCAACUCGACCUCAUGAAGUCGGAGUCGCUAGUAAUCGCAGAUCAGCAACGCUGCGGUGAAUACGUUCCCGGG